GAUGAACGCUAGCUACAGGCUUAACACAUGCAAGUCGAGGGGCAGCACAGAGAUAGCUUGCUAUCUUGGGUGGCGACCGGCGCACGGGUGAGUAACGCGUAUCCAACCUGCCCAUUACUCUGGGAUAGCCUUGCGAAAGUAAGAUUAAUACCGGAUGUUGUUAAAAACCCGCAUGAGUUUUUAACCAAAGAUUUAUUGGUAAUGGAUGGGGAUGCGUGACAUUAGGUAGUUGGUGAGGUAACGGCUCACCAAGCCUACGAUGUCUAGGGGUUCUGAGAGGAAGGUCCCCCACACUGGAACUGAGACACGGUCCAGACUCCUACGGGAGGCAGCAGUGAGGAAUAUUGGUCAAUGGACGAGAGUCUGAACCAGCCAAGUAGCGUGCAGGAAGACGGCCCUCUGGGUUGUAAACUGUCUUUUUAGUUGGGAAUAAAAGNGGGACGUGUCCCUAAUUGUAUCGUACCAUCAGAAAAAGGCCGGCUAAUUCCGUGCCAGCAGCCGCGGU
rnacentral:rRNA from 1 species